GAUGAACGCUGACAGAAUGCUUAACACAUGCAAGUCAACUUGAACUUCGGUUUGGGUGGCGGACGGGUGAGUAACGCGUAAAGAACUUGCCUCACAGCCAGGGACAACAUUUGGAAACGAAUGCUAAUACCUGAUAUUAUGAUUAUAUGGCAUCGUAUAAUUAUGAAAGCUAUAUGCGCUGUGAGAGAGCUUUGCGUCCCAUUAGCUAGUUGGAGAGGUAACAGCUCACCAAGGCGAUGAUGGGUAGCCGGCCUGAGAGGGUGAUCGGCCACAAGGGGACUGAGACACGGCCCUUACUCCUACGGGAGGCAGCAGUGGGGAAUAUUGGACAAUGGACCGAGAGUCUGAUCCAGCAAUUCUGUGUGCACGAUGAAGUUUUUCGGAAUGUAAAGUGCUUUCAGUUGGGAAGAAAAAAAUGACGGUACCAACAGAAGAAGUGACGGCUAAAUACGUG
rnacentral:rRNA from 1 species